CUGAUUCUGGUUACCUGAUGAUCGAUGUUAGACGAGUUCACAUAUUGUAGACUAGUCUACCAUCACAUCCUUCCCGCACUGUAUCUGCGAGCAGGCACAUUUGCUAUUUUAAGCAACGGUUUUUGUGACAAAACUAUUGGUAGGGUUGAAAAUGCGAUGGAAACAUGCAAAAAAAGUAUAUUUUGUGUGCACGACUUCAUCACGCAACGAUUUUUAUGUGCAACAAGUCAGUUUGGUGGAACACUCCAUGAUGGGAAAAUUCUCAUUUUCUUUAUGCAUGAAAAUCUGUUAGCAAAUUGGAUGGAAACCUAGCUACUGAAAACAAAACAUAAACCCAAAAGAAUUGAUAACAAAACAAUAUAUUGCAAGGAAAUACUUUUUAAAUACAAGAGCUAAUGAAUUGUAAAUGGAUGCAACAGAAAUCAUUUCUGUGAAACAUUUUUCAUGAUAACGCAAUUUACUAAAUCUCAUCCCUCUUUCCUGCAAUUUUCCCUAUCUUCGGUUAUGUUAUCCUGGCCUUUGCUUUCGCUGCCUUUUUUCUUCUUCUAGUUUUGGCUCAUUCAUUUCAGCAACAUAGUACCCUGCAUCCCACUUCUGCAUGGCUUGCCUCUUACAUGGACUUGCUCCACAACAUUAAGUAGUCAAACUAUAGGUUCACAUACUGGCGGAGCAGUGAAUGGAAACAGUGCAGUUCCAGUGUGAAGAACAGCACUUGCCCAGUCGGCAUUUUCUAUAAAAGCUGUUCAUCACUGGAACCAACUUCCUGAAAACGGACUACAGAUGAAAACUAGCCAGCUGGCUAAAUGUAGCACAUUUACAGAAAUGUUAAUUCAUUUGCAUUGUCUCUGUCAAAUAAAUACAUUUAUAAAUAAACUUUGAUGCAUGUUGUACUUUCUCUGCUCAGGAUACGUUUACAAAGGUGAUGUUUGGGGUCACCAUGACCUGCCAGAUGCGCAAAAUUAUCAUUAUCUGGCUAAUAGUUGGGGCCGGUGGUAAAAUGGGCUGGUGAAUUAGAAACGCCAAAGCCAAUUUAUGGUCCCAGUCCGCACCUGACCAUGACCGAAGGCUUGCUGUGUGGACAUAAA
rnacentral:lncRNA from 1 species